AAAGACGGAACCAUAUCCUCCUUCACCAACUUGAGUUGAGGUAUCAAAGUUGUUAGUGGCCGAAGCCAUUUCUCUGAAGGUGAAACUUUUAACGCCAUCUACUUUUAUAGAGAGGCUAGAAGACAAACGUUUUCUUGACAAGAUGUUUUGAUACUUAGCACGUCGUCUUGUGAUUAAUAGAGUGACAAUUGAGGAAACAAAGGCAGCAAAAGCACCUGCUGCUACAAUGAAAGCUAUCACAACGCCUUUGCUUUGUUUUUUACCUUUAAUUUCCGGAUUCAAGUGUGAAUAAGGUCCGAGGAGUGUGAAGUUCAGGAGCUCAUAUGGUCCAAAUAGGUGACUUCCUCGGAAUUCCCAAGAGGCAAAAAUCUCACUGAUACGAAGAAUCUCACUUUCA
rnacentral:misc_RNA from 1 species